rnacentral:rRNA from 1 species
CCUACGGGGGGCAGCAGUGGGGGAUAUUGCACAAUGGGGGAAACCCUGAUGCAGCGACGCCGCGUGGGUGAAGACGCGCCUCGGCGUGUAAAGCUCUGUCAGCAGGGAAGAAAAUGACGGUACCUGAAGAAGAAGCCCCGGCUAACUACGUGCCAGCAGCGGCGGUAAUACGUAGGGGGCAAGCGUUAUCCGGAUUUACUGGGUGUAAAGGGGGCGCAGACGGCGAUGAAAGCCAGGAGUGAAAGCCCGGGGCCCAACCCCGGGACUGCGCUUGGAACUGGGUGGCUAGAGUGCAGGAGGGGCAGGCGGAAUUCGUGGUGUAGCGGUGAAAUGCGUAGAUAUCAGGAGGAACACCGGUGGCGAAGGCGGCCUGCUGGACUGCAACUGACGUUGAGGCCCGAAAGCGUGGGGAGCAAACAGGAUUAGAUACCCGGGUAGUC